GUAGGUGAACCUGCGGAAGGAUCAUUACCUAGAGUUGCGGGCUUUGCCUGCCAUCUCUUACCCAUGUCUUUUGAGUACCUUCGUUUCCUCGGCGGGUCCGCCCGUCGAUCGGACAAAACUUAAACCCUUUGUAAUUGAAAUCAGCGUCUGAAAAAACUUAAUAGUUACAACUUUCAACAACGGAUCUCUUGGUUCUG
rnacentral:misc_RNA from 1 species